ensembl:lncRNA
CAGCACCGAGCCCAAAGCCUCCCACGUCCUCACGGGGCAAGCAGACCGCCCGCCCCCGGGCAUUGGAAGAAGCGCGGCCUUCACCUCCUGGGCUGGCCGGGGAGCAGGCAGCGCGCCCUGCAGCCAGCAGGAGCCCCAAGCACUGCCCGCCUGCAGCAGGCUCGGAUCGGUACCGGGACAACCCACGUGCGCUGCCUUCUGCUUCGCCCUUGCAAUCAGCCCGGCCCAGCUGCAGGUGUGUGCGGUGAGGACACGCGGGCAGGCUCGGCGCCUUGUGCUGCCGCGCGCCUGGCGGUGAGGGCUGAGCCCCGGCCCCGCUGCGGGGCCGUAGGACGCUGCUAUUCGGUCCCAGCCUGCUGCUUUCCCCAGGACGCGGGUUUUGCCGCUCCCCAAGCGAGGCCGUGCGGAGGGCAGCCCCGGAUCAUCAUUAGGCCAGCACGCUCUGCACUGAUGGAAUCUCCUCUUGCUGAUGUUGGCUGUGCUGGAAAGGCGCUUCCUGGCACUCUGCAAAGCUGACCCCGGGCUGUGCUCUGACAUCAAUGACCGGAUUGGCACGUUCCUUCUGCACAGCAGCAGCUAAGGAUAGUGUUGUGAAGGCAUGGAUCUCGGCGCUGCUGGACUUGGGUUCAAAUCCUAGUUCUGCCCAUGACUUGUGUGGCCACUAGUAAGUCACUUUCUUCCCUCUGCGCCUCAAUUUUCCAUCUAUGAAAUGUGGUUAACAAAGCUUUUCCUCUGUUCGUUGUCAGUACAGCCUACAACUCUUUGGGAUGGAGCCAUUUCUACUAACAGCAUGUUAAGCACCUGGCAGAACAAGGCUGCUGCUUUGUUCAGACCUGGUGGUGUUUUCCAAUGAAAUAUUAAGAAUAACACAAGUGGAAACCCCUGCUGGGGUUAGCUCUGUGGCUUCCAGCUUGCGAGCAACCUUUGUCAAGUAAGCACAGCGCAGGGAGAGGCUGUGACCUCCCCAGAGCCCCACGUGCACCUUUCUUUGCAAUGCCUCUUGCCUGGGGACAGCCCUAAUGCUGUAAAUCUUCUUGCACAAGGCAGCACUCCCAUGUCAUUCUGCAGUAUAGGAGAGCAGAGACUUUAUGAAGGUGCUCCCCAUUCACUGCCUGUCUUGUAGAGUUGGAAGGUACCCAAGCAUCUAUCGAAGCGGUGUUAACGCUUUGUAUUUUCUCGGUUUUAAAGCUGGAGUGUUUAGUUAAAGCCUGCACAGGUGGUUGCAUACAAUGGCUCCCUCUGCCAAGUUACAAAUGUGAAGUUUACUGGAAAGAAAAAUCAUAAAGUCAAAGUUUAUUCAUGGUUUUUGCAGGUUGUAAAUGUACGGAAAUGAGACCACUCACUUGCAGAUGGACACAACGUACGGCUAGCGUGACACCUGAAAAUGCCACUCCAUUAUAAGUGAGACUCAGAGCAAAGGGCAAAAGCCUCCUUUAACAUUACAGUUCUACGCAUGGUUUGGAUUUUACAAACCAAGUAUGGUCUGAGUGACAUUGUCACAGUGAUUGUAGCUUUGAAAACAUUGCUGCAGAAAACAAUUGUUCAAGAAAUAUAUGGAUGUAUGGCACUG